rnacentral:misc_RNA from 1 species
UGARUGGKGUUUGGUUUGKUWMGGGKGGKUGGAWGRMUGCUUGCGCAGCGACGUCCACGCGUGCAAACCUUUUCAGUUUUGCGGCAAGGCUAUUAUUGCCUUGAUUGUAAUGUGGGUUUCCUGUGCUGCAUACCUAAUCCAUGGUAAYGUUUGGAUUGAUUGAGCCCCUUUUUCGUCUUGCGCCACACACGUGACGUGGGAUGAACCCUAAAGCUGUCUCUAUGAUCCACCUUGUCGAUGCAACUGCAUUGAUUGUGUGGCUCAUUUUGCAUUGCUUGGUCUCUUGGAUACGGAACAUGAUGCGGGCAUGGGGUCUCUCCUUGUUUGCCCACGUUCAGCGUUCUCGCUUCUCUAUACGACUGCCCGUCAGGAAAGUGGCUCGUUACCAGCCUGGCCGGCAACGUCGAA